UACGUAGGGUGCGAGCGUUAAUCGGAAUUACUGGGCGUAAAGCGUGCGCAGGCGGUUUUGUAAGCCAGAUGUGAAAUCCCCGGGCUUAACCUGGGAAUGGCAUUUGGGACUGCAAGGCUUGAGUGCGGCAGAGGAGACUGGAAUUCCUGGUGUAGCAGUGAAAUGCGUAGAUAUCAGGAAGAACACCAAUGGCGAAGGCAGCUCUCUGGGACGGUACUGACGCUGAGACGCGGAAGCGUGGGGAGCGAACAGG
rnacentral:rRNA from 1 species